rnacentral:lncRNA from 1 species
AGAAAGCCUAAAUUUCCCCCAAGUCUCUGGGCCUUGUGCUUCUUCAGCUAGGAAUCUCUGCAAGCUUUGAGCCAUCCAGAAGGGAAUCUGUCCAAUUUGGUGGAACUGUGGCUGGACUUCAUAGUUUCUAGGAAGCUUGAGGAGAAAAUGAUCUGCCAAGUACUUUCACUCCUCUGCAAUUUUCUCAUUAGUUUUCUGUACACAUGCAUGUGACCUGACAGAGUUCAAUUCAGCCAGGGGUCUGUUUGUUUGUUUGUUUGUUUAUUUUCAGAAUCUUCCUGAUGCCAACCCUGUUGGCUUUGACCUGGACAGCAUAGCUCAGAUUCUGGCCCUGGUGAUGUCAACGAGAUCUUGCUAUUGAUCUUCAGACCUGAAUUUCAACAUACUGAGAUGCCUACAGGAAUGUUACAGCUCAUAAGCUUCGCUCGUUCCUUGGGCAAGCAGCCUGCUCCUUCACAUUGCCAGGGGAUUUUGCAGGAUUUGUCUCAGAGCAGAUUGGACUGGAAUAUAAGAAUCUGAGGGGAAAAGUGCCAAUGAACAAAUGAGUUUCUCAAUGAUGGUCUUCAAACACUGGUGAG